UGGCACUGUUCGUAACCUGGCUCAGUCCUCAGUGUGAGCUGUGGGUUCCAUUCCAGUGCCACAGUAAAGCCCAGAGAGUGGCAGGGGUCCGGUACGUCUUGUACCGUUUCUCUGUUCGCUCUCUGGGAACAUGA
ensembl:snoRNA